UGAAAGUGAUGCUUUCUGAUUUCCAAGUUCAGGUGCAAAAACGCCAUGUAGUUUCUACCAGGUUCUCCUGGGACUCUUGUUCUGGAGGAAGCCAGCCACCACCUCCCCUGAUUCUGCCAUGCUGGAUGUAGGCACCAGCUCCAGCAGAGCUGCCAAACUACAGCAGGCACCAGAUGCCAGCCGUGUGAGUGAGCGAUCUCGGACGUCCAGUGCAGCCCAGAUGAUGCAUCAGCUGAUGGCAUCCGCAGCCGGCAUCUGACUGUGCCUGCGUGAGAACCCCCAGCAAGAACUGCCCAGCUGAGCCCUUCCAGAAUUCCUGACCCACAAAAUUGUAGAAUGUGGCCAGGUUGCAGAAGACUCCAGAUGCUGCUGUAAGGAGCUGGCGUUUUACCCUGUGGAGCCAGAGCCUGAACAUUUCUGAGCAGAGGAAGAACACAAGGAAAGCAGGCAGUCAGCGUCUCUCCAGUCCCUGCAUCAUCCGGAGCCUUGGAGCCGGCUACAGGCUGGAUGCAGAACACGGAACUUCCUCAGUUUUUCCAAAUAUAAUUGAUUGACCUCAAGCCCACUGGCCCCCAAGACGGCUCCUGAUGAUACCUUUCUCCUGGAAUUCACACCUGUGUCGUCCCCUCCCACAGUGAACAGGGCAGAUCUGUGUAACCAAUAGGAAAUUGCCUAAAUGAUAGUGUGUACCUCCUGAGGAGAGGUCAUAUGAGAAUUGUGGCUUCCUUCCUUCUCACUCUGGGAGAAGCAGCCGCCAUGCUGUGAGGACACACAAGCAGUCCUGGUGAGAGGUCCAUGUGACAAGGAACUGAGGCCUCUUGCCGACAGCCGGCACCAACUUGCCAGCCAGUAUGAAUGAACCAUCUGGGAAACAGGUCCUCCAGUGAAGCCUUUGGAUGAGUACAACCCCAGCCAAACACCUGGACUGCAAUCUUAUGAGAGAUCUCAAGCCAGAAUCAUCUGCUGCCCAAUUCCUGACCCCAGGAACUGUGAAAUAAUAACUAUCCUUUGCUGUUUGAA